GUACUUUUGCUCCCCACUGUAUGCGUAUCUGGGAUAGUAAAAAUAUCAUAAUGUGUACAUUUUUAUUCAAGCCAAACAAAUAAUAAUAUCAUCACAAUCAUUUCAAAUGGAUUCGAAUCGUAUGGCAUGACAUGCAAAGGCUGAGGUACUCUACAACAAAAAAUAUACAUAUAUUAAUAUACAUAUGUAUGUAUGUAUAUCACCAUUAACAUCAUCGGUAGCUAAAGCGUCAGCAAAAAAGAGCAAUAAGAGAAAAGACCAUGCAACCAAAUCGACCGACCUCAGAAGGUGUUCCACAGCAAUGCGUUCAUUCGUUCUUUCUUUCGUUUAGUUGUUAAGUUAACAAUGUUUAUUUUAACAUGAAUUAUAUG